GACGAACGCUGGCGGCGUGCUUAACACAUGCAAGUCGAACGGUGACGCGCCUUCCUUUUUGGCUGGUGUGGAUGAGUGGCGAACGGGUGAGUAACACGUGAGUAACCUGCCCCCUCCUUCUGGAUAACCGCAUGAAAGUGUGGCUAAUACGGGAUAUUCUGGGUCUGUCGCAUGAUGGGUCUGUGAAAGAUUUUGUUUCGGUGGGGGAUGGGCUCGCGGCCUAUCAGCUUGUUGGUGGGGUGAUGGCCUACCAAGGCGGUGACGGGUAGCCGGCCUGAGAGGGUGGACGAUCAUGCUGGUGCUGAGAGGCGGAGCAGACUACGACGGGCGGCAGCGGGGAAUAUUGGUGCACGAUGGGAGGAAGGCUGAUGCAGCGACGCGGCGGGGGGGAUGGAGGUCGUCUGGUUGUGAACCUCUGUCGGGAGAGAAGCAGGCCUGCCUCGUUUGUGGGUGGGUUGACGGUAGCUGGAGAAGAAGCGCCGGCUAACUACGUG
rnacentral:rRNA from 1 species